rnacentral:misc_RNA from 1 species
UCUGGGUCCAACCUCCCACCCGUGUCUAUCGUACCUUGUUGCUUCGGCGGGCCCGCCGUUUCGACGGCCGCCGGGGAGGCCUUGCGCCCCCGGGCCCGCGCCCGCCGAAGACCCCAACAUGAACGCUGUUCUGAAAGUAUGCAGUCUGAGUUGAUUAUCGUAAUCAGUUAAAACUUUCAACAACGGAUCUCUUGGUUCCGGCAUCGAUGAAGAACGCAGCGAAAUGCGAUAAGUAAUGUGAAUUGCAGAAUUCAGUGAAUCAUCGAGUCUUUGAACGCACAUUGCGCCCCCUGGUAUUCCGGGGGGCAUGCCUGUCCGAGCGUCAUUGCUGCCCUCAAGCACGGCUUGUGUGUUGGGCCCCCGUCCCCCUCUCCCGGGGGACGGGCCCGAAAGGCAGCGGCGGCACCGCGUCCGGUCCUCGAGCGUAUGGGGCUUUGUCACCUGCUCUGUAGGCCCGGCCGGCGCCAGCCGACACCCAACUUUAUUUUUCUAAGGUUGACCUCGGAUCAGGUAGGGAUACCCGCUGAACUUA